rnacentral:misc_RNA from 1 species
CGCAUCUUGCGCUCCUUGGUAUUCCGAGGAGCAUGCCUGUUUGAGUGUCAUUAAAUUCUCAACUCUCUUAUACUUUGUUGUAAGAGAGCUUGGAUUGUGGAGGUGUGCUGGUCACGUUUGAGAUCAGCUCCUCUGAAAUACAUUAGCGGAACCGUUUGCGAUCUGCCACAAGUGUGAUAAACUAUCUACACUGGCUAAGGGGGAUUGCUCUCUGUUGUUCAGCUUCUAAUCGUCUUAGGACAACUUUUUGAUUACUUGACCUCAAAUCAGGUAGGACUACCCGCUGAACUUAA